AAGAAGUUAUCCCACUUUCAAAUCAGUUGAUUCCAGUUUCCCAGUUUGGGAAUAGCACAGUUUCAUCGUCGUUCCAAUCAAACCAGGAUGAAUCACUUUGUGAGAAGCUUGAUUUGGAUACAUAAAGUGGUGGAGAAUCUCCAGGAAGUUGAAUAAAUCUCAUAUGAGUUGCAAGAAGAAGUUAUCCCACUUUCAAAUCAGUUGAUUCCAGUUUCCCAGUUUGGGAAUAGCACAGAUUCAUCGUCGUUCCAAUCAAACCAGGAUGAAUUACUUUGUGAGAAGGUUGAUUUGGAUACAUAAAGUGGUGGAGAAUCACCAGGAAGUUGAAUAAAUCUCAUAGGAGUUGGGAUGAAGAAGUGAUUCCAGUUUCCCAGUUUGGAUACAUAAAUCAGGUGCACUACAAGAAAAAUGUGUUUUAAUAGCGGACGAAUAACGCUAUAUAACGAUACUAUAGCGGUUUUUGAAGCGCUGUAUCAUCGCCCGUCAUAAUAAGUAAAGGACAUUACAUAGCGGUUUUAUGCUCUGCUAUCUUUUCUUCCGAUACGAUAGCGCUUUUUUUGUAUGCAAUUAAAUAUUCUUUAAUAGCGUAUUUUUAUUGUUAUUAUUACAUUAUUGAAAAAUUAAAAAAAAAAUAGAAAAAAUAUUUUAAAUAUUUUAAAUUGAAUUAUUCAUAAACUAAAAAUGGUUUACAUAUAUAAAAAAAAAAAAACAAAACUAAACCAAGCUUAGACCUAAACCUAUUUGCUAGCUAAACCUAAUAACAAAACCAUGCCGCUUUCAAGCUUCUUAACUCCGCCGCCUUCAAACACCAUUCGCUGUGACAACAAAGCCCUCGCGUCUCUCUUCUUUCCUUCGACGUCGGAGAUGACGACGGAAUCACCAUGGCUCUUCCCACUCACUGUCGUCGAGCUCGUCUUCGGCUCACCACUGCCAAGCUCAUCCCAUACACCACCGUCAUGUUCGUCUCCGGCUUAUCUAUCAUCUCCGCGCACCUUUGUCUCAACUUCAAGAUUUUCUAUUCACUGACCAUACUCCACCAACUAUAGACAGCAAGCUCUCCAACUAAUAAAAAAACGAUUUAAUCAGUUCUAAGCCCUAGAAAUUGAUUUCAGAUCUAUAUUGAUUUCUACCUGUUUCUGGAUCGAUGAACAAUAGAGAAGCAAUGUAUUGAAGUUUCUGUGUGGAUUGAAGACCUUCGCGACACUUCUUGAGCAAGCUCUCCUACACUUGGAUUUCCAGAUCUCGACCAUGUUGUCUUCUCAUCCUUCCUUCUUCGGAAUCCACCGCCAUUUGAACAAGAGGAAUAAGAAGAGACCGCGGUGGUAGUGGUUUAGAGAAUAAGAAAGAAAGAUGUGCAGAGAUACAUAAAAGAAGAAGAGAUAUCCGCCAUUUGAACAAGAGGAAUAAGAAGAGACCGCGGUGGUAGUGGUUUAGAGAAUAAGAAAGAAAGAUGUGCAGAGAUACAUAAAAGAAGAAGAGAUAUGUUGAUGGCGAAGGGAAGAAGAACAAAAUAGAAAGGAAAGGAAAAAAAUCUGAGGCAGAAAUAAAUUAGAAAAAUUAAUUAAUUAACUGUGGCCGUUGGAUCAACAUUUAUCAAAGGCUGAAAGUAGCGAUCUUUGUCACCCCACAUUGACCAAUCAGAAAACAGUUAGUGGAUCACUAACUUUAGAUCCAAAAGAAGAUCGUGCGGUUCGUAUAUAACCAUUAGUCCAAGUCCAAAAAUUUUAAACUGUAAUAUGAAAUUAGUUUAAAGGUUUAAAGUAAAAGAAUAUAAGUAAAUGAAAUUAGUUUAAAGGUUUAAAUGUUUGAGUAUAGGGUUUGAAAAGUUUGUCUUUGUUGACAAAAAAAAAAAAAAGUUUGUCUUUGGAUUUUAGACUUAAAGUAUGAGUUUGGAAUAAAGGUUUGAGUAUAGGGUUUGAGGAUUAAAGGUUUAGAGUAUUGAUUUAAUAUUAAUUUUUGAAAAAAAAUAAUUUUUGAAUUUUUAUUUAGUGUUGAGAUUUUUUUUAAUUACUUUAUAUUUAAAAUUUGGAGUUUAGAAUAAAUGUAUGAGUAUUGGGUCUAAAAGUUAAAGGUUUGGGAUAUUGAUUUUAAAAUUUGAGAUAAAAUUUGGAAAUGAUUAAUUUUUGAGUUUAUAUCUAACAUUUGAAGUUAAAUUUAAGAUUUGGUGUUAAAAUAGAGUUUACAUUUGUAUUUAGAGUUUAAAAACUUGUUUUAGGGUUGAGAGAUUUAAAAACCAAACAUAGCGUUUUUAAUCAUGUUUUGUUAUCAAAACCCAAGUGAUACAUAUAAAACCUUAUGUUAUCAUAGCGUUUCUAAAUAUACCACUCUAUCAUAGCGUUUCCAAAUAUACAAACGCUAUCUAAAACUAAUGGGUAUGUCAACUAUAGCAUAAUCGUAAAAAACGUUAUGCCGGUCUGCUAUUAAAACUCAUUUUUCUUGUAGUGGUGAUUCCAGUUUCCCAGUUUGGGAGUACCACAACUUCAUCGUCGUUCCAAUCAAACCAGGAUGAAUUACUUUGUGAGAAGCUUGAUUUGGAUACAUAAAGUGGUGGAGAAUCACCAGUGAAAGUUUUUGAGAUUUGUUUAAGUCAUUAUGAGAAUUAUGAAGAAGGUGAAGAGUAUUGAGAGAGAGAGAGAGGAAGUGAAUCGCAUAAGACUAAAGAGAAGAGGAACUCAUUUCCUUGAUACAUUUUGUGCCUGGUUACAUCCUUAAUAUAGACUACAAGUUGCUAUACUAAGACAAACAAGAAACUAUAAACAAUGGAGACAAAUAAGACAAGCUGAGCUCGGACAGGUGAGGUGAUAGUGACCUCUCGCCAAUCUCUCUCUUCCUUAACCUCACAUGUGCUCUUGCUUUGGGGAAAUCGGCCAAUUCCUACAUCAACAAGGACCAACGGUCCCGAUCAGUACAUAAACAUGUUACCUGUGCGAAAACAUACAUCAACUACUAGAAAAUUUAAUUUUCAUACGCAAACUUUCAAAAUUUAGUUUUAUCAUACAUUGACUUAAUUUCCGUUAGUCAAACGUUGAGCUGUCGUUAACCAGUACAAAAACAUACAUCAACUAAUACAAAAUUAAAAUUCAAUACACGAACUUUCGAAAUCUGUUUUUAACAUACACUAAAGCUUGACAUGCGCGUCCGUGCGGAUAUUUGUAGUUAAUUUUUUUAUAAAUUGUUUAGUGACAUUCCUAAAUAUAUAAUUUUUUGUUAAUUAUUAUGUUACUAUACAUAAAAACCAAAGCCAUCCGGAUCUGAAAGACCCUAUUCGAAUCUCACCCAAAAUUUUAUAAUACCCGAACAAAGCAUAAUUUCAAAACCUAAAAAAAUUCGAUAUCCGAAAGAACCAAUCCAUACCCAACCGUAUACUUGAUAUCCAUAUCUUAAUGAAGUAGUUAAGAAGUAUAAAAAAAUGUAAAAGAUAUAAUAAAACACUUAAAAAUAGGUAAGUUCUGUUUUAUAUUUUUAUAAGAUAUGCUGUCAAAUUAUUUGAAAAAAAUGCAAUUAAUAAAGUAGUUAAGUUGAGUGAAAAUAAGGAAAGAAAAGAUGUAAUAAAUCUGUUGAAAAUAAUGUUAGUUUUAUUUUGUAAUUAAAUUUAAUAAAAUAGAUUUACCUAAUUUCCACUAGUCAAAUAAUACCGAAAAUAAAUGGUAUGUCAUGUAUUGAUUAAGUAAAGUUUUUUAUUGUAUUAUGUGAUAAUUAAACCAUAGUACGUAGUAAUUGACAGAGAGAAAUGAAAAUGUUUAGCUUAUCGAAGAAAUUCUCUUUACUCUUUGUUCAAUUUUGUCUUCUUUCAUUUUUUUGGUGUUAGUGUUUUCUGUUGUCGUAAAAGUUGAAGAAAAAAUUAAAGAGAAAAACUAACUAAUAAAUUACACACAAAACAAAUCGUUUGACAUACAUGAUUUAUUUUUCUCAUUCAAUUACCGCGUAAUACAGUUUAAUUACCACAUAAUACAUCAAAAACCUUACUUAAUCAAUACGUGACAGACAAUUUAUCUUCGAUAUUAUUUGACUAGUUGAAGUUAGGUAAAUAUCAAGCUUUAGCGUAUGUUAAAACCAGAUUUCAAAAGUUCAUGUAUUGAAUUUGAAUUUUGUAUUAGUUGAUGUAUGUUUUUGCACAAGUAAAGUGUUUAUGUAUUGAUAUGUAUCAUUGGUCCCUGUUCUUGUAGGAAUUAGCCGAUUUUCUAUUACCGGUUAACGACAACUCAACGUUUGACUAACGGAAAUUAGGUCAAUGUAUGAUAAAUUAAAUUUUGUACUAGUUGAUGUAUGUUUUCGCACAGGUAACAUGUUUAUGUACUGAUCGGGACCGUUGAUCCUUGUUGAUGUAGGAAUUAGCCGAUUUCCCUCUUGCUUUGUUCCUUAGCUUCCAACGGUCACCUUCUUUAUAUUAAACAACUCCAGGGACUUAGGAUGCUCUUACACGUGAUCUUAUGUCAAUGCCUUACCAUUACUUGCCUUGAUAUCCAAGCUAGGUCAAGGGAGAGAUAUCCGUACACUCUUGUACGGAUGCGCCACUUAAUUCCUCAUCAAGCAUGCUUCUCUUGAUCUCUACUUCUGGUUUAUACUCUGAAUGUCUUAAUGUCAACACUCCCCCUCAAGCUUGACAGUGGUGAGUGUCAAGCUUGGAAAGACAUGAAGUAUUCCCUCAUUAAAACCUUUACUUGGAAAAACCACUUGGGAUAAAAACCAAGCAAAGGAAAAAGAGUAGAAUACUCCAUGGUGAGGGGAUCAUUGACAUGGAAUGUUUAUGAGUCCAAGCCUUGGAAGAAUGGACUCACAAACUUUGCUGCUGGCUGCCUUGGUGAAGAUGUCAGCCAGCUGAUCCUCACUUCUUGUGUAACAUGGGAGGAUCACUUGUUGCUCUACUGCUUGUCUCACCUUGUGGCAGUCUACUUCUAUGUGCUUUGUUCUCUCAUGGAAGACUGAGUUGGAUGCAAUGUGUAUUGCGGCUUGGUUGUCACAAUGCAUGGUCAUUGGAGUAGUGAUCUCAAUCCCCAAGUCGCCUAGAAGCCCCUUAAUCAAGAUAAGCUCACUAGUUAACUUCCUCAUUGAUCUGUAUUCUGCUUCAGCACUUGAGCAAGACACUACCUUCUGCUUCUUGCUCUUCCAUGUGACCAAAUUUCCUCCUAUGAAUGUACAAUAGCCAGUGGUUGACCUUCUGUCCACUCUGUCCCCAGCCCAAUCCGCAUUACAAUAUCCAAUCACCUCAGUGUUUUUGUUGCAAGCCAUCCACACACCUUGACCCGGAGCCUCUCUCAAGUAUCUUAGGAUUCUUUCCACCAUGUUCCAAUGAUGAACCUUGGGAGUUUGCGUGUGCUGGCUUACUUGAUUAACUGCAAAGCACACAUCUGGCCGAGUAAUGGUGAGAUAUAUCAGCUUCCCAACCAUCCUCCUAUACUGCUUGACAUCCUCAAAUGGAGUGUCAUCAUACUCCCCCUCUCGCAAUACUUUGUAGCCUUCCUCUAGUGGUGUCUUGGCCUGUCUUCCUCCAAGGUCUCCUACCUCAUUUAGGAUGUCCAAGGUGUACUUUCUUUGGGACAGAAACAAUCCUUCCUUUGAUCUGCACAUCUCAAUGCCGAGGAAGUACUUCAGCUCUCCUAGAUCCUUGAUGUCAAAUGCAGUCUUGAGGAAUGUCUUGGUUGAGUUGAUUCCCUCCUUGUUACUACCAGUGAUGAUGAUAUCAUCCACAUAGACUAGGAUUACCACAAUCCCUUGCUUGCUUGUGAGAGUAAAGAGUGUAUGAUCAGCUUGAGACUUCACAAAGCCUCUUCCAUUCAGUGUAGUACUCAGCUUGUGGUACCAGGCUCUUGGUGAUUGCUUUAAGCCAUAGAUAGCCUUCCUGAGUCUAAGAACAUUCCCUGGUUUCACCAUCUCUUCCAUUCCGGGAGGUGGCCUCAUGUAUACUUCAUCUUCUAGUUCACCUUGCAAGAAAGCAUUCUUCACAUCCAUUUGCCAAAGAUCCCACUCUAGGUUCACUGCUUGUGAGAGAACUAUCCGGAUUGUAUGAAGCUUGGCCACUGGUGCAAAGGUGUCUAGAUAGUCUUCUCCAUACACUUGUGUGUAUCCUCUUGCCACCAGCCUGGUCUUCUUUCUUUCUGGUUUCCCAUUUGCAAGAUACUUGAUGGUGUGUAUGAGUCUACUGGUCACGGCUUUCUUCCCUCUUGGAAGCUCUGUCUCAUACCAGGUGUUGUUUCUUUCCAUAGCUCCCAUUUCAUCAUUCACUGAUUCCCUCCAUUCAUCAUUGUCCAUAGCUUCUGCAUAUGUUCUUGGUAUCCAUUCCUGAUCCAAUGAACCCACAAAGGCUUGAUGUUCUUCUGGAUAGUAAGCAAGGGAGCACACGGCACUGGGUGGGUGAGCUACUGCCUCUGCGUUGAAGUAUACUCUAGUGUUGUUCCAGUUUGAAGCCGGUUUCCUCUGUCUUGUGCUUCUCCUAAGCUGCUGCACCUCUUGUACAUCAUCUUGUCCACUUGAUUCGGCUCCUCCAGAGUUCACAUCAGCGGUUUGGUCAGCCUCUUGCUGCAUCUUCUCAUCCGGAUCAUGAACGUUAGGAUCAUUGCUCUCACCCUCAUGAUCAUUGUUGUUCCCCCCUUCAGGAUCAGGAUGAGGAUGAGGGGUUGUUGUAGAUUCUUGUGGAGCUCUCACUGUCUUCGGAACAGCUCCAGUCUCCUGAGUGCCAGCAGAUGGAAACAAACUGAUUCCCAAGUUCUGCAUAAGCAUAAGCCGCCUUAGUGUGUCUGCUCUGUCCGAGGAAGGUUGAGAGAGAUCCUUGAGCUCAUCCCAACUUUUCUUCUCAAAGUAUCCUCUGGAUUCCAAAAACUUUACAUCUCUGGAGACUAAGACCCUCCUGGCCUCUGGAACAUAGCAUUUAUACCCCUUUUGGGUAGUGGAAUAGCCAAGGAAAACUGCCUUGGUGCUCCGUGGCUCAAGCUUGUUUCUCUGUCCAUCUGGCUGCAAGACAUAACAAAAGCAACCAAAUACACGUAAAUGAUCAAUAGAGGGUUUUCUUUUGUUCAGUACCUCAUAUGGUGUGAGAUCACCAAGGAUUCUGGUUGGGGUGCGGUUGAUCAGAUAACAUGCUGUCAUGACUGCAUCACUCCAGAACCGCUUAGGAACAUUGGUCUGAAACAUCAUGGAUCUGGCCACGCCCAUAAGGUGUCGGUUUUUCCUCUCAGCCACCCCAUUCUGUUGGGGUGUAUAUGGACAGCUCGUUUGAUGAAGUAUUCCAUGCUUGGCUAGGUGAUUUUUGAAACCAUGACUUGUGUAUUCUCCCCCAUUGUCUGACCUGAACACUUUGAUCUUAACAUUGAAUUGAUUAGUUAUGUAAGUUUGGAAGUUAAUGAAAGCAUCUAGCACUCUAUCUUUAGUUGGAAUCAUAGUCAGCCAAGUAUAUUUUGAUUUCUGAUCUAUAAAUGUGACAAAAUACUUAUGAUUCUCCCUAGAUAUGCAUGGUGCAGUCCAAACAUCAGAGUGUAUAAGAUCAAAGCAAUUUUCAUAGAUUGUAGAUGACUUAGGGAAAACGGUCUUGCAAUGUUUACCAAGGAUACAAGCUUCACAGCCAUCAUUUUUAAAAGAAAUAUCAGGUAACAACAAGUUCAGUGCACGGGAAUGAGGAUGGCCUAGCCUAGCAUGCCACAAUACAUCAUGAUCUAAAACAGGAAUUGAACUAAAAGCUGAAGAUAAAUAAGAAGGAGUCUUGGCGUCUUCAAGAAGGUAGAGAUCUCCCUUUGUCACACCUUUGCCAAUCAACUUAAGAGUCUCAAUAUCCUGAAACACAACUUCAUUAGGACUAAAUAUGACAUUACAAUUUAGAUCGGUAGUAGCCCUUUUUCCAGAUAGAAGGUUAGAGGCAAAAGUAGGCAUGUAGAAAGCUUUAGAGUCUUUAUCAAACAGCUUAAGUGUUCCUACUCCCUUAAUUGGAAUUUUAUCACCAUUAGCUAUCAUCGCAUUGCCUAUCACAGGUUCUAUGUUACUAAUCAAGUUAACAUCACUUAUCAUAUGGUGAGAGGCGCCUGAGUCUAUAACUAAAGGCUUAACUCUCUCAGUUUGGUGAGCUACUUGAUAAGAAGUAAAGAGACCUCUAGGCGUGUGAUAAGUAGCAUUAAGAGAAGUUCCAAGGGUGUUACCGGACUCCUUAAGAGCUUUGAUGAGAGCCUCAAUGUCAGACUUCUUGAUGGUAUCAUCAUAGCCAUGCUUCUUCUCCUCAAUAGCUUGAGAGCGGUUGGAUGUCUCUCCAAUGUCACCCGAGUAGUUGGCCCUUCCUUCAGUUCUGAAUUUGGCCGGUUUGAGAUGUGGGUGAAGGAUCCAGCACUUGUCCUUCCCAUGACCCUUCUUCUUGCAGUGGUCACACACCCACACCUUCUUAUCCUCCGGCUUGUAGUAUCCUUUGUUGGCUACUCCGGCAGGUUUGUUCUCGGCUCCUUCAGCUUGAUUGGCCAUCACCAUCUCUCCCUUUCUCUUAAAGAGACCCACUGAGCCGUGCUCCUUUUGAAUCUCAGCACACACUUCAUCAAGGGAGGGAAGCUCCUUGUUCCUCAGUAUGUGCUUGAUUAGGUCAUCAUACCCCGGGUUAAGGGUAAGUAGUAAGGCAAAGACCUUAUCCUGCUCUCUCCUCUCAUGGAGAACAUCUGGGUCGACAGUGGCUGGCCUGAGCAUCUCUAGCUCAGCCCAUAGGGACCGGAACUUCCCAAAGUGAGCAUCAAAGUCUGUGUCCUCUUGACUGAGGGAGUUGAUGGCUCCUUUCACUUCAUACACCUUGCUUAUGUUGGAUUUAUUGGCAUACACCUUCUUAAGAGUGUCCCACAACUCUUUGGAAGUCUCACAAAAGGCAUAAGCCUCUUGGAGAGAAGGGGCGAGGCUAUUCUGGAUGAUAGACAACACCAUGAGGUCCUCCUGACCUUUCUUCUUCUCCCCAGCAUCCGCAAUCACCACCUCUUUGCCAUCCUCUCCUAGGACAGUCUUCUUGGUGGGGCGGCCUUCUUCAACAAUUUCCCAAAGACCUCUGCCUCCGAGAGCUGUUUUGGCAAGUCUUGCCCAUGUCAGGUAGUUAGGACCCUUGAGUGUGACUGGUAUCAUCACCAUCUUUGUGUUCUCAGAGGUAUCCAUCAAGAGAGAAAGAAAAGAAAAGGUCUUUGCUAUUUUUGGCAAAUUCUGGAAACAAAGAAUCAAGAACAAGAUGAACUUUGCCAAAAAUAGAAUUAGAACUCAGAGAAUUUGCGGAAGAAAGAAAAGUUUUAGGUCUCAAGAGUAAGGUUGCUCUGAUACCAUGAAAGUUUAUGAGAUUUGUUUAAGUCAUUAUGAGAAUUAUGAAGAAGGUGAAGAGUAUUGAGAGAGAGAGAGAAAGUGAAUCGCAUAAGACUAAAGAGAAGAGGAACUCAUUUCCUUUAUUCAUUUUGUGCCUUGUUACAUCCUUAAUAUAGACUACAAGUUGCUAUACUAAGACAAACAAGAGACUAUAAACAAUGGAGACAAAUAAGACAAGCUGAGCUCGGACAGGUGAGGUGAUAGUGACCUCUCGCCAAUCUCUCUCUUCCUUAACCUUACAUGUGAUCUUGCUUUGUUCCUUAGCUUCCAAUGGUCACCUUCUCUAUAUUAAACAACUCCAGGGACUUAGGAUGCUCUUACACGUGAUCUUAUGUCAAUGCCUUACCAUUACUUGCCUUGAUAUCCAAGCUAGGUNNNNNNNNNNNNNNNNNNNNNNNNNNNNNNNNNNNNNNNNNNNNNNNNNNNNNNNNNNNNNNNNNNNNNUAUCACUUUUAGUGAUGUGUAGAGUAAUCUGAGUGUUUAGGAAAGAUUAGAAGAGAUUUGGAGAAGAUUAAAGUAUGAAAUGAGAUUAAGAGUCUAAAGAGAAAACUAGAGAGAGACUAAGAGAGACUCAUAACUUGCUUGAUUUUAUUAAUGAUGAGGUUACAAUAUAUAUAGAGAGAUCAGAUACAAGGGUUUCCAUUUUGAUCACUAUUCUAAGCAUGUGAAGUCAAGGGAAGAGGCUCCUCAUUUCAAACUCAGCCAAUGAGAGUGUGAUCGUGUGUGAGGCAUCUUGGACUAAGAUGCUUUGCCUUUCCAGCCUGUCACAGCCUGUCAAGGCUCUCCACCUUAUCCAUAACCUUAUCAACCUCAGCGCACACUCUCCUCUUCAUGGUAAGUUCCCCCUUUACCCAUUUCACUCUCAAGUAACUCCUUUCACUCAGGUAACUUCCUUUUAACCCUUUUUACCACAGUACCUAAUAUUUACUGUGGUAACUUUCUCCACCCAAGUAACUUCAACUCUUCAUAACUCCUCUUCAUCUUAACACUCUCCCUCAAGCUUAGCUUUGUGAAAGUUUAAGCUUGGACAGCCAUGAGAUCUUCCUCAUUAAAAACCUCACUAAGGAAAACCCAUUGGUACAAAACCUUAAUGAGGGAAAAAGAGUAAAGAUCUCACAGCUAAGGGGAUCAGCUCCUUCUCUUCCCAAGAUCUAUGAGUCCCAAUCUGAUGUGAAUGGACUCCAUAGUCUUUUGUCUCGCAGCCUUGGUGAACACAUCAGCCAACUGAUCUUCACUUCUCGUAUAGCAAGGCAAGAUCACUCCUAGCACAAUCAUCUGUCUCACUUUGUGGCAAUCAACCUCAAUGUGCUUGGUCCUCUCAUGGAACACCGAGUUGGAUGCAAUGUGAAUGGCAGCUUGAUUAUGACAAUGCAUUGUCAUUGGAGUGGCUUGAUCAAUCUCCAAGUGCUUCAAGAUGCCUUUGAUCCAUACCAACUCGUUUGUGAGCUUAAGCAUGGCUCUAUACUCAGCUUCAGCACUUGAACAUGACACCACCUUAUGCUUCUUGCUCUUCCAAGUCACCAAGUUGCCUCCAAUGAAUGUGCAAUAGCCGGUAGUUGAUCUCCUGUCAGCUCUAUCUCCUGCCCAAUCAGCAUCACAAUAGCCCACCACUUCUGAGCUUCCAUUGCAUCCCAUCCAAACCCCUUGAUCCGGCGUGUUGAGAUGAGGUAAUAAAGAGAGGAGACAUUGAUAGAGAAAGAGGAUUGAGGAAUACAGUAACUUUGGAGUUUUACCACAGUAACUUUAGUUUUACUGUGGUAACUCAGUUAAAGCUUGGAAAGUGAUCUUGCUUCACUUUGGAGAGUUACCCACGACCAAGGAGCUCUUGGAUAAGGAAGGAGCAGUCUGGAUAAGGUUUCCUCAAACUAGAGAGGCUGGAGACAGGCUGUAAAGUAGACAGCAUCUAGUAAAAGAUGCCAAAGGGAUCAAGCAUGUGAAGACUCCCAUUGGAUGCUUUUGGAUGGCUCUCUUUGACUACACAUGCUCUGAAUCUCUUUCUUAUCUUAUGGAUUUCGAAAUGUAUUGUCUCUCUCACAAAAAUAUGUUGUAAACCUCAUCUUUAAUAAUUAAUGGAGUUUUGAGUCUCUCUCUUUAUUCUCUCACUAAAAUCUCUUAAUCUCUUUAAUCUUUUCAUCUGAUUAUCUCUGAUUAUUUGAAUCAUGCUCUAAUACACAAAAGUGUAUAUGGUAUCAGAGCCAGGUUGGCAAAAAGGGGGUGAGUGUGAUUUCUUUUUUCAAAAUCAGAGUGUUCUUGAGUGUUCUUGGGAUUAUUGAGGUUUCUGGGUAUGUGUGUUGUCUAUUCUUUUGUGGCUGGGUUUAUUUGAGAUUCUCUGGUGGAAACAUGGAUAUGAAGCACGAAUCUAGUGGAGUAGUGAAGAUUCAAGAAGAAAACAAGUGGGUUUGGCCAAGAUGGGUAAAGACAGCUUUGGGAAGCUGUGAGAUUUGGAGUAAUCAAGUAAAGGGAGAACCUUUAAUGGAGAGAGCUGCUGAUGGGGGUCAGACAGCAAGGUUGAAAUGUGAAGAUCAGUUGAGUCUUGAAGAAAGUAUAUCUCUUGAGAAGAUUGAAGAUGUUUAUGAGAACAAGAUCAAUCUAAGGAGGAUGUAUGAAGUCAGGAAGAUGAUCUGUGAGUUGAAACAAGGGAAAGAAGGUUUCAAUCAGCAUGUGAAAAAGCUGAGAUGUUUGUGGUCGGAGUUACAAAGCUUGAGACCAAGAAGUUGUGAUCCGAGAGUGCUAGAAGAGUGGCGAAAGCAAGAUGUUGUCUUCAGCCUCCUUGCAAGCUUGGAUUCAUCUUAUGGCUGGUUGGUAAAGCUUAUUCUCAAGGAAGAGAAGCUACCCAACAUGGAAGAAGUGUGUGUACUUGUUCAGAGGCUUCAUCAAGUGAUGGAAGAGAACAAAGAGAUAACUUGGAGUAAGGAGGGUGCUAAAAGGAAGAAGGGAAGGCUGAGACGACGUUCUAAGGCUCAGAUCAGAAGAGGAAGGUGUUGGAAGAGAAGCAUACUGUCUGGUUAUCAAGGUAGCUAUGGUACUAUGAAGAUGGGCAGAGAAGAAGCACAACAGAUUCUUAUGGGAGAGUGUUCUUACUCAGCUUACAUGGGAGAAUCUGUAGAGAGCAGUGGGGUCAUGAGGAAGCUAGAGACCAAAGGAGCGGAUGAGCGUGUCACAAAGGAUGAAUGGGAUGAGUUUGUCAAGUAUGUGUAUGCUUUGGCUACGGCCCGGAGACAAGGUGCUCCUGCCAAAUCAUCCACAUCCAACAAACCCAUCAUUGUUGAUUCUGGAGCAAGUCAUCACAUGAUUAGUGAUAGAAGCUUAAUGAGUGAUGUAAAGAAAGCCACUGGGGGUGUGAUGAUAGCCAAUGGAGAUAGGAUUCCAAUAGAAGGGGUUGGAAAGCUCAAGCUAUUUGACAAAGACUCAGAUGCCUUCUACAUGCCACAGUUUGCUUCAAAUCUGGUAUCUGUGAGGAAAGCCACGAUUGAUCUUGGCUGUCAAGUAGUAUUCAGGCCAGAUGAUGUUGAGUUCCAAGAUUUGAAGACUGGAAGGGUCAUUGGGAGAGGAGACAGCAAGAAUAAUCUAUACCAGCUCCAAUUGGCUAAGAUUUCUAAACCCUUUGAUUCUAUGUGUUUGAGUAGUACUUAUGAGAAGAUUGAUAGUAUGACUUGGCAUGCUAGAUUGGGUCAUCCUCAUGCUCGUGCUAUUGAAUUGAUAAUUCCUAAUAUGUCAUUUAAUCACUUGGAGUGUGAAGCAUGCAUAUUAGGAAAGCAUUGUAGGACUGUUUUUCCAACAUCAGAAACUACUUAUGAGCAUUGCUUUGAUCUAGUUCAUUCAGAUGUGUGGACUGCUCCUUGUUUGUCUAGAGAUAGCCAGAAGUACUUUGUGACAUUCAUUGAUGAGAAGUCUAAGUAUACUUGGCUUACAUUGCUUCCAUCUAAAGAUAGGGUGCUAGAAGCAUUUAUGAACUUCCAAGCAUAUGUAUCUAAUCAAUACAAUGCUACUGUGAAGGAGAUCAGAUAAUGGAUGUGAAUACAUCAGCAAUGCCUUCAAGAGUCAUCUAGCCAAGCAUGGGAUUGUGCAUCAGACUAGCUGUCCUUAUACACCACAGCAGAAUGGUGUAGCUGAGAGGAAGAACAGGCACUUGAUGGAGGUUGCUAGAUCAAUGAUGUUUCAUGCAAAUGUCCCAAAACGUUUUUGGAGUGAUGCUGUGCAGACUGCUUGCUAUCUCAUCAACCGGGUUCCAACCAAGAUAUUGAAGAAUCUGUCUCCAUUUGAAGUGUUGAACAAGAGCAAACCUGUCAUUGAUCACCUACGUGUCUUUGGGUGUGUGUGCUAUGUCAUGGUUCCAGGAGAGCAGAGAAACAAGCUGGAGGCAAAGAGUACUAAGGCUAUAUUCAUUGGUUACUCUAUCACUCAAAAAGGGUACAAGUGCUAUGAUCCUGAAGCAAGGAGAGUGAUGGUAUCUAGAGAAGUGAAGUUUGUUGAAACAAAAGGUUAUUAUGAAGAAAAAGAGUGGAAAAAUCUGAAGGAUUUGUCUCAAGCUCCAUCUGAUAAGGCAACAAUACUGAGAGUGUUGUUGGAGAAGCUCGGGAUAGGGUUGUCCCAGGAUCAGGAACUCGGCAGGAGAGAGUCUUCCAAUCAGACUGGUGGAGCUGGAAGAACAACUCCUCUUGAUCAUGAGAGGGGGAAUGGAACUGAAUCUGGUGAGCAAGAGCAAAACCAAGAGGAUUCAGGUCUUCAUGAUCAAGUUGAGAACAAUGUUCAGUCUAGUGGAGAAGUGGAUGAGGUUCAGUCUAGUGGAGAAGUAGAUGAGGUUCAGUCUAGUGGAGAAGAACAAGUCGGACCGGCCAGUUCAGAAGAUGAGCAAGUGGAGCCGGCUAGUGUGCAAACUGAAGAUCAGGUGAAAGCUUUGAGGAGGAGCACAAGGAUAAAGAGGGAUCCUUCCAACUGGGUAAACACGAGAGUGUACUACAAUGCCCAGGCUGUGGAGCAUCCUUCUCAAGCCGUGUGUUCCUUUGCUGAGUUUUCAGAGGAGCAUUAUGCGUUUAUGAUUAGUCUGGAUGAGAGUUAUGUGCCAAGGACUUAUGAAGAAGCUAUGUUAGACAAGGAAUGGAAAGAAUCAGUGGGAGCUGAAGCAGGUGCUAUGAUCAAGAAUGAUACAUGGUAUGAGAGUGAGCUACCUAAGGGAAAGAAGGCUGUAUCUAGUAGAUGGAUCUUCACAAUCAAGUAUCUAGCAAAUGGACAGAUUGAUAGGAAGAAGACCAGACUGGUUGCAAGAGGAUUUACACAAACCUAUGGAGAGGAUUACAUUGAUACCUUUGCACCAGUAGCUAAGCUGCACACAGUUCGGAUUGUGUUGUCCAUUGCAACAAACUUGGAGUGGGAUUUGUGGCAGAUGGAUGUGAAGAAUGCUUUCUUACAAGGUGAGCUAGAAGAUGAGGUAUACAUGCUUCCUCCUCCUGGUCUUGAGCAUCUAGUAAAACCAGGAAAUGUUUUGAGAUUGAAGAAGGCAAUAUAUGGGCUGAAGCAGUCUCCUAGAGCUUGGUACAGAAAGCUGAGUACAACUCUCAAUGAGAGAGGAUUCAGGAAGUCUGAACUGGAUCAUACACUCUUCACUUUGGUUACUCCAUCAGGGAUCAUUGUGAUACUGGUAUAUGUGGAUGAUUUGAUUAUCACAGGGAGUGAUAAGGCUGGGAUUAAAGCCACUAAAGAGUUCCUCAAGUCUGUGUUUGAUAUCAAAGACUUGGGAGAGAUGAAGUAUUUCUUGGGGAUUGAGAUAUGCAGAUCCAAGGAGGGUUUGUUUAUGUGUCAAAGGAAGUAUACAAUGGAUAUGUUGAAGGAGACUGAUGUACUUGGAGGAAAGGUAGCCAAGACACCUCUUGAAGAGGGGUAUAAGGUCUUACGUGAGGGGGAGGUUGAAGAGAACCAGUUGUUUGAGGAUGCUAAGCUGUAUAGGAAGAUGGUUGGCAAGCUGAUCUACUUGACUAUUACCAGGCCAGAUAUAUGCUUUGCUGUGAAUCAAGUGAGUCAACAUAUGCAGGCGCCAAAGGUCCAUCACUGGAAGAUGGUUGAUAGGAUACUGAGGUAUUUGAGUGGGACGGCUGGACAAGGAGUUUGGAUGGGCUGUAAUGGCAGUACAGAAGUGGUUGGGUAUUGUGAUGCUGAUUGGGCAGGAGAUAGAGUGGACACGAGAUCAACUACUGGGUAUUGUACAUUCAUUGGAGGGAACUUGGUUACUUGGAAGAGUAAGAAGCAGAAGGUUAUCUCUUGUUCAAGUGCUGAAGGUGAGUAUAGAGCCAUGUUGAAGCUGACAAACGAGUUGGUGUGGAUCAAGGGGAUCUUGAAGCAUCUAGAGAUUGAGCAGAGUGCUCCUAUGACUAUGCAUUGUGACAAUCAAGCAGCUAUCCACAUUGCCUCCAACUCAGUGUUUCAUGAGAGAACAAAGCACAUAGAGGUGGAUUGUCAUAAGGUGAGGCAGAUGAUUAUCCUAGGAGUGAUUCUGCCAUGUUAUACAAGAAGUGAAGAUCAGCUUGCAGAUGUGUUUACCAAGGCAGCGAGAUUGAAGACAAUGGAGUCCAUACUAUCCAGGCUUGGACUCAUUGAUCUUACUCCCAGGAGCUGAGCCCCUUAACCAUGGAAUCUCCACUCUUUUUCCCUCAUCAAAGUUUUAUCCCAAUGGGUUUUCUUUGGUGAGGUUUUUAAUGAGGGAGGUCUUCAUGGUUUCCAAGCUUGACUUGUUCCACAUGGUCAAGCUUGAGGGGGAGUGUUGAGAUGAGGUAAUAAAGAGAGGAGACAUUGAUAGAGAAAGAGGAUUGAGGCAUACAGUAACUUUGGAGUUUUACCACAGUAACUUUAGUUUUACUGUGGUAACUCAGUUAAAGCUUGGAAAGUGAUCUUGCUUCACUUUGGAGAGUUACCCAUGACCAAGGAGCUCUUGGAUAAGGAAGGAGCAGUCUGGAUAAGGUUUCCUCAAGCUAGAGAGGCUGGAGACAGGCUGUAAAGUAGACAACAUCUAGUAAAAGAUGCCAAAGGGAUCAAGCAUGUGAAGACUCCCAUUGGAUGCUUUUGGAUGGCUCUCUUUGACUACACAUGCUCUGAAUCUCUUUCUUAUCUUAUGGAUUUCGAAAUGUAUUGUCUCUCUCACAAAAAUAUGUUGUAAACCUCAUCUUUAAUAAUUAAUGGAGUUUUGAGUCUCUCUCUUUAUUCUCUCACUAAAAUCUCUUAAUCUCUUUAAUCUUUUCAUCUGAUUAUCUCUGAUUAUUUGAAUCAUGCUCUAAUACACAAAAGUGUAUACGGCGAGCCAUUUAGAUACAUCAGCAGCCUCUCCACCAUACGCCAAUGAUGAGAAUCACCAGGAAGUUGAAUAAAUCUCAUAGGAGUUGGCGAAAAGAAGUUAUCCCACUUUCAAAUCAGGUGAUUCCAGUUUCCCAGUUUG
rnacentral:lncRNA from 1 species